rnacentral:rRNA from 1 species
UGAGAGUGGCGCACGGGUGCGUAACGCGUGAGCAACCUACCCCAUAUCAGGGGGAUAGCCUCUCGAAAGAGAGAUUAACACCGCAUAACAUCAUUUACCGGCAUCGGAUUAUGAUCAAAUAUUUAUAGGAUAUGGAUGGGCUCGCGUGACAUUAGCUAGUUGGAGGGGUAACGGCCCACCAAGGCUACGAUGUCUAGGGGCUCUGAGAGGAGAAUCCCCCACACUGGUACUGAGACACGGACCAGACUCCUACGGGAGGCAGCAGUAAGGAAUAUUGGUCAAUGGAGGGAACUCUGAACCAGCCAUGCCGCGUGCAGGAUGACUGCCCUAUGGGUUGUAAACUGCUUUUGUCAGGGAAUAAACCUUUCCACGUGUGGGAAGCUGAAUGUACCUGAAGAAUAAGGAUCGGCUAACUCCGUGCCAGCAGCCGCGGUAAUACGGAGGAUCCAAGCGUUAUCCGGAUUUAUUGGGUUUAAAGGGUGCGUAGGCGGUCCUAUAAGUCAGUGGUGAAAGACGGCAGCUUAACUGUCGCAGUGCCUUUGAUACUGUAGGACUUGAAUCUAUUUGAAGUGGGCGGAAUAAGACAAGUAGCGGUGAAAUGCAUAGAUAUGUCUUAGAACUCCGAUUGCGAAGGCAGCUCACUAAGUUA